AUUGAACGCUGGCGGCAGGCCUAACACAUGCAAGUCGAACGCGUGGCGGACGGGUGAGUAAUGUCUGGGAAAAUGCCUGAUGGAGGGGGAUCACUACUGGAAACGGUCGCUAAUACCGCAUACCAUCGGAUGUGCCCAGAUGGGAUUAGCGAGUAGGUGGGGUAAAGGCGCACCUAGGCGACGAUCCCUAGCUGGUCUGAGAGGAUGACCAGCCACACUGGAACUGAGACACGGUCCAGACUCCUACGGGAGGCAGAAGUUGGGAAUAUUGGACAAUGGGCGCAAGCCUGAUGCAGCCAUGCCGCGUGUAUGAAGAAGGCCUUCGGGUGGUAAAGUACUUUCAGCGGGGAGGCGUUACCCGCAGAAGAAGCACCGGCUAACUCCGUGCCAGCAGCCGCGGUAAUAC
rnacentral:rRNA from 1 species